rnacentral:rRNA from 1 species
UAAGGAAUAUUGGUCAAUGGACGCAAGUCUGAACCAGCCAUGCCGCGUGGAGGAUGAAGGUCCUCUGGAUUGUAAACUUCUUUUAUCUGGGAAGAAACCCAUUUUUUCUAGAGUGGUUGACGGUACCAGAUGAAUAAGCACCGGCUAACUCCGUGCCAGCAGCCGCGGUAAUACGGAGGGUGCAAGCGUUAUCCGGAUUCACUGGGUUUAAAGGGUGCGUAGGUGGGCAGUUAAGUCAGUGGUGAAAUCUCCGGGCUUAACCCGGAAACUGCCAUUGAUACUAUCUGUCUUGAAUGCCGUGGAGGUAAGCGGAAUAUGUCAUGUAGCGGUGAAAUGCUUAGAUAUGACAUAGAACACCAAUUGCGAAGGCAGCUUACUACACGAAUAUUGACACUGAGGCACGAAAGCGUGGGGAUCAAACAGG